rnacentral:rRNA from 1 species
GCCAGCAGCCGCGGUAAUUCCAGCUCCAAUAGCGUAUACUAAAAUUGUUGCGGUUAAAAAGCUCGUAGUUGCAUUUGUGCGCCGCGCUGUCGGUGCACCGCAUCCGCGGUGAUACUGACACGUCUGCGGAGCAUAUCGUCGGUGAGCCGGCGGUAAUACGCCGGUUCAAUAUCAAAAUCCUAUCGCGGUGCUCUUCGGUGAGUGUCGAGGUGGGCCGACAAUUUUACUUUGAACAAAUUAGAGUGCUCAAAGCGGGCUCAAAAUGCUGCUUGAAUAUUUCGUGCAUGGAAUAAUAGAAUAUGAUCUCGGUUCUAUUUUGUUGGUUUUCAGAACUCCGAGGUAAUGAUUAAUAGGGAUAACUGGGGGCAUUCGUAUUGCGACGUUAGAGGUGAAAUUCUUGGAUCGUCGCAAGACGAACAUCAGCGAAAGCAUUUGCCAAAGGUGUUUUCAUCAAUCAAGAACGAAAGUUAGAGGUUCGAAGGCGAUUAGAUACCGCCCUAGUUCUAACCGUAAAUAUGUCAUCUAGCGAUCCGCCGACGUUACUACAAUGGCUCGGCGGGCAGCUUCCGGGAAACCAAAGAUUUUGGACUCCGGGGGGAGUAUGGUUGCAAAGCUGAAACUUAAAGGANUKGACGGAAG